GGACACGUAGCUCAACUGGAUAGAGUGCCAGAUUACGGCUCUGGAGGUUGGGGGUUCGACUCCUCUCGUGUUCA
rnacentral:tRNA from 1 species